rnacentral:ncRNA from 1 species
GCAGAGUAGGAACACGCGUGCGUCGCCCCAUGACGGGGCCAGUGCCGGCGGGACGGGGAGUUGUCCGCCGGACGAACAGUGUAGCCUGGCCAUGGUAACUCAAAUCCGAGUUAUCAUGGCUAGGCUAAACGCGGCAGUGCGUGUUCCGCAUCCCGCUGC